rnacentral:rRNA from 1 species
UAAGACGUAGGAGGCGAGCGUUAUCCGGAUUCACUGGGCGUAAAGCGCAUGUAGGCGGUUGUGGAAGUCGUGUGUUAAAGCCCCUGGCUCAACUGGGGGAGGUCAUGCGAGACUCCACGGACUGGAGGGCAGCAGAGGCACGUGGAACUCCCGGUGUAGCGGUGGAAUGCGUAGAGAUCGGGAAGAACACCCGUGGCGAAGGCGACGUGCUGGGCUGCAUCUGACGCUGAGAUGCGAAAGUGUGGGGAGCAAACGGGAUUAGAUACCCCGGUAGUCCACACUGUAAACGAUGAACCCUAGGUGUGGGACGGUCAAACGUUCCGUGCCGAAGCCAACGCGUUAAGGGUUCCGCCUGGGGACUAUGAGCGCAAGCUUA